rnacentral:rRNA from 1 species
UACGUAGGGGGCUAGCGUUGUCCGGAAUCAUUGGGCGUAAAGCGCGUGUAGGCGGUUCGGUAAGUCCGCUGUGAAAGUCGGGGGCUCAACCCUCGAAUGCCGGUGGAUACUGUCGGGCUAGAGUGCGGAAGAGGCGAGUGGAAUUCCUGGUGUAGCGGUGAAAUGCGUAGAUAUCAGGAGGAACACCGGUGGUGUAGACGGCUCUCUGGACCGUAACUGACGCUGAGACGCGAAAGCGUGGGGAGCAAACAGG